rnacentral:ncRNA from 1 species
UGAUAGCUGUGAAGCGUGAGGUUGCUGCCGAAGGCGCCAUAACCGGAUGGCAGGUUUUCCGUGGAGCGAAUGUCAAGUUAGGAAACUGGCGACAA